rnacentral:misc_RNA from 1 species
UCGUAACAAGGUUUCCGUAGGUGAACCUGCGGAAGGAUCAUUACCGAGUGCGGGUCUUUAUGGCCCAACCUCCCACCCGUGACUAUUGUACCUUGUUGCUUCGGCGGGCCCGCCAGCGUUGCUGGCCGCCGGGGGGCGUCACGCCCCCGGGCCCGUGCCCGCCGGAGACCCCAACAUGAACCCUGUUCUGAAAGCUUGCAGUCUGAGUUGUGAUUCUUUGCAAUCAGUUAAAACUUUCAACAAUGGAUCUCUUGGUUCCGGCAUCGAUGAAGAACGCAGCGAAAUGCGAUAACUAAUGUGAAUUGCAGAAUUCAGUGAAUCAUCGAGUCUUUGAACGCACAUUGCGCCCCCUGGUAUUCCGGGGGGCAUGCCUGUCCGAGCGUCAUUGCUGCCCUCAAGCCCGGCUUGUGUGUUGGGCCCUCGUCCCCCGGCUCCCGGGGGACGGGCCCGAAAGGCAGCGGCGGCACCGCGUCCGGUCCUCGAGCGUAUGGGGCUUCGUCUUCCGCUCUGUAGGCCCGGCCGGCGCCCGCCGACGCAUUUUUUGUGCAACUUGUUUUUUUUCCAGGUUGACCUCGGAUCAGGUAGGGAUACCCGCUGAACUUAAGCAUAUCAAUAA